rnacentral:tRNA from 1 species
GGAGAGGUGGCAGAGUGGUUGAAUGCGGCGGUCUCGAAAACCGUUAAGGCUCGCAAGGGUCUUCGAGGGUUCGAAUCCCUCCCUCUCCGCCA